rnacentral:rRNA from 1 species
UACGGGGGGGGCAAGCGUUGUUCGGAAUUACUGGGCGUAAAGGGCUCGUAGGCGGCCAACUAAGUCAGACGUGAAAUCCCCGGGCUUAACCUGGGAACUGCAUUUGUGACUGGCGGGCUAGAGUAUGGCAGAGGGGGGUAGAAUUCCACGUGUAGCAGUGAAAUGCGUAGAGAUGUGGAGGAAUACCGAUGGCGAAGGCAGCCCCCUGGGCCAAUACUGACGCUCAUGCACGAAAGCGUGGGGAGCAAACAGG